AUGAGGAAAGGCACUCUCGCCCUCGUCCUCCUCCUCACCUUUGCUUCCCAUGGCGUAUGGUGUGCAGCAGCGGCGAGAAGCGCCAUGGCCGAGGAGGAUGCAGCUCAUCAUCAUCUGAGGCCUCAUCAACAUGAAACCCAAGGGGAGAGGAUACAGACUCCCAGGAAGGUCGGGCGCAUGGCAGGCGGCUCUGGAGAGGGCAGCGGUAGGAACACCGGUGGUGGCGCCGCAGACACAGGGCCGCACAACACCAAGAACGGCGGUACUGUGGCACUGCCGGCUGCGGCAACCUCUGCUUUGGCGCCGGUUUUCACAGCCACUGUCCUUCUCUCGGUGCUCAACUUGUAG
rnacentral:rRNA from 1 species